rnacentral:rRNA from 1 species
UUAGCCAUGCUAGUCGCACGAGUUUAGACUCGUGGCAUAUAGCUUAGUAACACGUGGCCAAACUACCCUACAGACCGCAAUAACCUCGGGAAACUGAGGCCAAUAGCGGAUAUAACUCUCAGGCUGGAGUGCCGAGAGUUAGAAACGUUCCGGCGCUGUAGGAUGUGGCUGCGGCCGAUUAGGUAGAUGGUGGGGUAACGGCCCACCAUGCCGAUAAUCGGUACAGGUUGUGAGAGCAAGAGCCUGGAGACGGUAUCUGAGACAAGAUACCGGGCCCUACGGGGCGCAGCAGGCGCGAAACCUUUACACUGCACGACAGUGCGAUAGGGGGACUCCGAGUGUGAGGGCAUAUAGCCCUCGCUUUUCUGUACCGUAAGGUGGUACAAGAACAAGGACUGGGCAAGACCGGUGCCAGCCGCCGCGGUAAUACCGGCAGUCCAAGUGAUGGCCGAUAUUAUUGGGCCUAAAGCGUCCGUAGCUUGCUGUGUAAGUCCAUUGGGAAAUCGACCAGCUCAACUGGUCGACGUCCGGUGGAAACUACAUAGCUUGGGGCCGGGAGACUCGACGGGUACGUCCGGGGUAGGAGUGAAAUCCUAUAAUCCUGGACGG